AGCAGCCGCGGUAAUUCCAGCUCCAAUAGCGUAUAUUAAAGUUGUUGCAGUUAAAAAGCUCGUAGUUGAAUUUCGGGAUCAGUAUGCUGGUCGUGCCAUUGGUACGUACUAGUAUUAUUGGUUUCUCCUUUCUGAUGAAUCAUGAUGUCAUUAAUUUGAUGUCAUGAGGAAUCAGGACUGUUACUUUGAAAAAAUUAGAGUGUCUAAAGCAGGCUCGCGCUUGAAUACAUUAGCAUGGAAUAAUGAAAUAGGAUGUUUGAUUCUAUUUUGUUGGUUUCUAGGAUUGACGUAAUGAUUAAUAGGGAUAGUUGGGGGCAUUAGUAUUCAAUUGUCAGAGGUGAAAUUCUUGGAUUUAUUGAAGGCUAACUACUGCGAAAGCAUUUGCCAAGGAUGUUUCAUUAAUCAAGAACGAAAGUUAGGGGAUCGAAGACGAUCAGAUACCGUCGUAGUCUUAACCAUAAACUAUGCCGACUAGGGAUCGGAUGAUGUUAAUUUUUUAAUGACUCAUUCGGCGCCUUAC
rnacentral:misc_RNA from 1 species